UUAGAGGGAAACGGGUGGAACCGCAAUGCGUCGACCCGGGGGAUUCAGCCAGACCGUGCACACGCGGCGAGGGCGGAGAGUGGCGGAGCUUUCGGGCCCGCGCCUCCGCCUAGUCGUCGGGCGGCCUGUUGCACUUUCCCCGGGCCGAUGGCCACGGCCGGCUCUCCGUUGGCGGCCAAAAGCCUAAGACCGGGAAGGUAGCCGCCGGCCCGGUGCCGGCGGUGAUUACAGACCGGCUAGCCGUCGUGCUCGUCGGAGGGCCGAGGAAAGGUUGCCGCUCGCCGCCCACCCUACGGCCGUCCUGGCUCGUCUACAAUGGGUCGCACUGCUGGUCAGAGCGCACACCGCCAGCGAGCUGCAGGGGCCGGAAAGGUGAGGCGAGCUCCGGGCCCGUGGCGAAUCGGUCGGCCUUCCACCCGACC
rnacentral:rRNA from 1 species